UGAACUAUAUAAAGUACAUAGUAGACAUUUUAGUUCCUAUUACAGAUCAGGUGUGGGCGGCUAAUCGCUGAUUUGCCGGAAAUUUUCAAUUCCGGCAAUUUGCCAAACUCUUAAUCAAAUAGGAGCAGCAAACAGUGUGGGAGCUCUCUGAGAAAUCUGCGGAGAGGAUGGCAAGAACAAAUUGAAUGUUGCGGUGUGCGUGGCCGUGAGAAGAGAAAACUCGGCCACCUAUUUUUAUUUUUGAUGUAUUUUUUUUGCCGGGAAGAAUAUAUGUUUUGAGAACAAAAAUAUGAUUCAUGUGA
ensembl:lincRNA linc-105 ncRNA